rnacentral:lncRNA from 13 species
CUUUCAUCUGGUGUCUGUGUGAUUAUUUCUCCACGAGGGAAUGGGACUGAGACCUGUUAUUACUUAUUACAUCCCUUCAUUCCAGAACGUGGAACUAAUAGGUAAGUUCCAGACAGUUGAAUCUACUGGUUAUUUUAGAGAUCAUUAGAUGUUAAACUGAACACUUUUUAACUCCACAUAAUGAUGGAGUGCAAUUAUCUAUUUAUUUAUAAAUAUCCAUAGGCUGGGAUCAGAAUCAACACUUAGAAGAGCCACUCCCUCGAAAAAGGCAACCAAGAAAACGAAUGGAUUCUAUUACCUUGGAUUAAUUAAACUCGCUGAGCAAAGAGCCCACCUCUGCCGAGUCCCAGUUCUGCCUAAGACAAGGGCCUCAUCUCAUGUUAGGCAAGUGAGAUCAUCUCUACACUAUGGAGACCCUCAGACUAUUAGUCAGCUGUGACCCCAUGUCUGUAAAGAACAACCUGGAGAAGGUGAGCAUCGAUCUCACCUCCUCUUACGUGCUAAGCGAGCAGUCUACCACUUGAGCUAAUUCCUCACCUGCCCCAAGACUCUCUGUCC